rnacentral:rRNA from 1 species
CACUCCUGCGGGAGGCAGCAGUGGGGAAUUUUGGACAAUGGGCGAAAGCCUGAUCCAGCAAUGCCGCGUGAGUGAAGAAGGCCUUCGGGUUGUAAAGCUCUUUUGUCAGGGAAGAAACGGUGAGAGCUAAUAUCUUUUGCUAAUGACGGUACCUGAAGAAUAAGCACCGGCUAACUACGUGCCAGCAGCCGCGGUAAUACGUAGGGUGCAAGCGUUAAUCGGAAUUACUGGGCGUAAAGCGUGCGCAGGCGGUUUUGUAAGUCUGAUGUGAAAUCCCCGGGCUCAACCUGGGAAUUGCAUUGGAGACUGCAAGGCUAGAAUCUGGCAGAGGGGGGUAGAAUUCCACGUGUAGCAGUGAAAUGCGUAGAUAUGUGGAGGAACACCGAUGGCGAAGGCAGCCCCCUGGGUCAAGAUUGACGCUCAUGCACGAAAGCGUGGGGAGCAAACAGGAUUAGAAACCCUUGUAGUCCCAUG